rnacentral:misc_RNA from 1 species
AAAACGCUAGCCGGUGGUUAGCAUCUCCGGUGGACGAAGCUAGCUCAUGGAGAACAUAGAGAAGGUGUUGCACACGAGACAAGUUUCCGAUAGUGAUAGCAGCUGCACAAGGGUUAAGCAAAUGCUCUGCCCAUCUUCCUUCCCUGUUAUUCCCAUUAGUCCCAUUAUUUCCUGUGCUUUUACUAUUGCUUUUCUUGUUUCCAUUUGAUCUCUUCCCUGCCACCACUUCAACUGCUGCUUGCUCACCAUCUUGAUCUUCAUUGCUUAUCCGAUGAUUCUGUUUCUUUCUCUGAUGAUGAUGGUUCUGGGAUGUUUCGGGAACUGGGUCAUCAGUAGCUUCUCGUUUCCUAGAUAAAUUGGAAGGUUGUUGAUGACUGGAAGUGGUGGGAUCACUUGCUCCUAUAAGGCUGAUGGAAUCUGCAUUUAAGGUGGUGUUGGUGCUACUACUGAGACUAGUGUUAGUGUUGAUCGGAUCUUGGCAAAUUUCUUCAGUUUGAUUCCACCAUUGAUAGCUAUUGAUAUCACUAGCAUUGUAAGGAUCAUCCAAGAAGGAAGGCAGGAAAGAUGCUGAAUCUUCUAACCAAUCCAAUAUGUGAUCUGAAAUGUGGUUUGGCUCUGGUUCUUCUAGAGUCAUCUUGUGCCUGAAU